CUGCCGCCAGCACUCCACUCCCGGUUUGGUUGGCAUCGGGGCUCACCUCGGUGUAUCUCAGCGUUAAGAACUCUCAGGGGCUGUUGAAGUUGCAAAUGAUAAGCCCACUCCAGCAAGCAGCAGCAAGAGCCAGGAGCACCUGGAUGGUGCAAAGGCAGGAAGGGAAGUGGCAUUUGCUGUGCGCCUCUGGGCACUGGCCCCCAUCCACCCCCGGGGGCCGAGGCUCUCCAGCCCGGGGCUGCCGGGAUGAGGGUACCAGGCUCCCUGUCUCCCCUACCACUCCCAGCUACUAAAGUGUAAGGAGUGCCCAGGAGGACCAGGAAGCUAUGAAUCAGUCUGCUCCUCCCAGGCUUUCCCCACGUCGGCCGGGAAGUGCAGGUUGUCAGAGACUUGUCCCUUCCACCUACUUUCCCCUCUCAGCGCACGCUGGCCCCUGGCCCCACCCCAUCUGGAGCUGCUGGGAGAGAGUACUUGGGCAUCCUCGGGCGACUGUGGGGAGGAAGGGAGAGAGGCGCUCAGGCCCCUGAGGAUGGCACAUGCCGCUGCCCUCGGGGUGGACCGGAGGUGACAAAAGGAGAGGCCUGGGAAACUGGCCCAGGCCCUGUGCCCACCCAUGCCCAUCUUCCUGGGAGCGGUGCAGAGGGAACCCCUUGGCCAGCCCCCAGGGGAGAUCCUCUGGGAGGGGCAGGGGAGGGGAAGAGCAGGACCUGCAGAUGCUCACUGGACACGACAGCGACCCAGGGGCACUGGCAGGGUGUCGCGUGCUCUGGUGUCCUGGGAGCACCGAGAAGCAGAAAGGCCCCUGCGGUGCUGCAGGAUGGACUCGGGCACGCCGGGUGCUUCUCGGUGCCUCCUGCCCCUGCCUCAGGAAGAAGGGCGAGCGCCACCGCUGACCUGCACACCGUGCUGUCUCCUGCCCCUCUUCGGCCAUCCAGCAGGACCAGCUGGAGUCUGGGCUCCUCUCUAAGCUCUCUGCUGUGGUCUGGGAUAGCAGUAGAAGAUGGCCCAGGUCCUUGGGCCCCUGCACCCAUGUGGGAGACCGGAAGAGGCUCCUGGCUCCUGGCUUCAGAUCGGCAUAGCUCCAGCAGUUGUGGCCAUUUGGGGAGUGAACCAACGGAAGGAAGACCUUUCUCUCUGUCUCUCCCUCUCACUGUCUGUAACUCCACCUCUCAAAUAAGUCUAUGACAAGAAGGCAAAGGCUCCCCUCUGGGACCCAUUCAUUCAGCAAACAUCACUUCAGCAUCUCCCAAGUAUGAGGCAGAAGAAAGAGGAACCAGAGGUUCUACAUGCAAAUCCAGGCAGGGGCCAGUGCAGGCGAAAGCCGCUUCCCACAUCAGCUUCUGGGUUGAAAGCCAUCCACCUGCUCCCAGGGCAGCUACCAAGUUUACUAUCAGUUCUCAAUUCUGGGUGUUCCACAUGGGACAGGCAGUCAGCAUCUCCAGCCCCCUAACCCAACCACACCCUGUCUAGGAAGUCAGCAAUCAGGCAUCUCAAACAUCCACCCUAAAUCACCCCCACCUCGAUGAUAAAAUCAACCGGCCUCACACGUCAGCCAGGAAUUUUUGUUGCCUUGGGCUUCCAAGUCUGAUUACCUGCUUUUUGUUUUGUUUUGCUUUGUUUUGGUUAUUAAACUAAA